rnacentral:rRNA from 1 species
GAUGAACGCUGGCGGCGUGCUUAAUACAUGCAAGUCGAGCGAGGACCACCCGGUGGCAACACCGGGUGACUCCUAGCGGCGAACGGGUGAGUAACACGUGGGCAACCUGCCCCCGACUAUGGGAUAAGCCCGGGAAACUGGGUCUAAUACCGGAUACGAGCCUCCUCCGCAGGGUGGAGGUUGGCACGGGUCUCCGGCCGGGGAUGGGCCCGCGGCCUAUCAUCUUGAAGGUGGGGUGACGGCCCACCAAGGCGACGACGGGUAGCCGGCCUGAGAGGGUGAACGGCCACACUGGGACUGAGACACGGCCCAGACUCCUACGGGAGGCAGCAGUAGGGAAUCUUGCGCAAUGGGCGAAAGCCUGACGCAGCGACGCCGCGUGCGGGACGAAGGCCCUCGGGUUGUAAACCUCUUUCAGCAUCGACGAAGCGAAAGUGACGGUAGGUGCAGAAGAAGGACCGGCCAACUACGUGCCAGCCGCCGCGGUAACAC